UACGUAGGGGGCGAGCGUUGUCCGGAUUUAUUGGGCGUAAAGAGCUCGUAGGCGGUUCGAUAAGUCAGGUGUAAAAACUCCAGGCUCAACUUGGAGAGGCCACCUGAUACUGUCGUGACUAGAGUCCGGUAGAGGAGCACGGAAUUCCUGGUGUAGCGGUGAAAUGCGCAGAUAUCAGGAAGAACACCCGUGGCUAAGGCGGCUCUCUAGUACGGUACUGACGCUGAGACGCGAAAGCGUGGGGAGCGAACAGG
rnacentral:rRNA from 1 species